rnacentral:rRNA from 1 species
GCGCAACCCUUAUUAUUAGUUGCCAGCAUUCAGUUGGGCACUCUAGUGAGACUGCCGGUGCACAAACCGGAGGAAGGUGGGGAUGACGUCAAAUCAUCAUGCCCCUUAUGACCUGGGCUACACACGUGCUACAAUGGCAUAUACAACGAGUCGCCAACCCGCGAGGGUGCGCUAAUCUCUUAAAGUAUGUCUCAGUUCGGAUUGUAGGCUGCAACUCGCCUACAUGAAGUCGGAAUCGCUAGUAAUCGCGGAU